rnacentral:rRNA from 1 species
UACAGAGGUCUCAAGCGUUGUUCGGAAUCACUGGGCGUAAAGGGUGCGUAGGCGGCGGAGUAAGUCGGGUGUGAAAUUUGAGGGCUCAACCUUCAACUAGCACCUGAUACUGCUUCGCUCGAGGCCUGAAGAGGAGCUUGGAAUUCUCGGUGUAGCAGUGAAAUGCGUAGAUUUCGAGAAGAACGCUCGCAGCGAAAGCGAAGCUCUGGUCAGGUUCUGACGCUGAGGCACGAAGGCUAGGGGAGCAAACGGG